rnacentral:tRNA from 1 species
CAGGACAUAGCUCAGCCAGGCAGAGCGCGUGCUCGGGGUGCACGAGGCCGCGGGAUCGAAGCCCGUUUUCCUGACCA